rnacentral:rRNA from 1 species
GGCGGACGGGUGAGUAAUGCUUGGGAACAUGCCUUGAGGUGGGGGACAACAGUUGGAAACGACUGCUAAUACCGCAUAAUGUCUACGGACCAAAGGGGGCUUUUAGCUCCCGCCUUUAGAUUGGCCCAAGUGGGAUUAGUUAGUUGGUGAGGUAAUGGCUCACCAAGGCAACGAUCCCUAGCUGGUUUGAGAGGAUGAUCAGCCACACUGGGACUGAGACACGGCCCAGACUCCUACGGGAGGCAGCAGUGGGGAAUAUUGCACAAUGGGCGAAAGCCUGAUGCAGCCAUGCCGCGUGUGUGAAGAAGGCCUUCGGGUUGUAAAGCACUUUCAGUCAGGAGGAAAGGUUAGUAGUUAAUACCUGCUAGCUGUGACGUUACUGACAGAAGAAGCACCGGCUAACUCCGUGCCAGCAGCCGCGGUAAUACGGAGGGUGCGAGCGUUAAUCGGAAUUACUGGGCGUAAAGCGUAC